rnacentral:rRNA from 1 species
UACGAAUCGUCCAAACGUUGUUCGGAUUUACUGGGCGUAAAGGGCGCGUAGGCGGCCUCUGCAAGUCGACUGUGAAAUCUCCGGGCUUAACCCGGAAAGGUCAGCCGAUACUGCAGGGCUAGAGUGCAGAAGGGGCAACUGGAAUUCUCGGUGUAGCGGUGAAAUGCGUAGAUAUCGAGAGGAACACCUGCGGCGAAGGCGGGUUGCUGGGCUGACACUGACGCUGAGGACGAAAGCGUGGGGAGCGAACAGG